UGGGGAAUUUUGGACAAUGGGCGAAAGCCGAUCCAGCAAUGCCGCGUGUGUGAAGAAGGCCUUCGGGUUGUAAAGCACUUUUGUCCGGAAAGAAAUCCUUGGCUCUAAUACAGUCGGGGGAUGACGGUACCGGAAGAAUAAGCACCGGCUAACUACGUGCCAGCAGCCGCGGUAAUACGUAGGGUGCAAGCGUUAAUCGGAAUUACUGGGCGUAAAGCGUGCGCAGGCGGUUUGCUAAGACCGAUGUGAAAUCCCCGGGCUCAACCUGGGAACUGCAUUGGUGACUGGCAGGCUAGAGUAUGGCAGAGGGGGGUAGAAUUCCACGUGUAGCAGUGAAAUGCGUAGAGAUGUGGAGGAAUACCGAUGGCGAAGGCAGCCCCCUGGGCCAAUACUGACGCUCAUGCACGAAAAGCGUGGGGAGCAAAACAGGAUUAGAUACCCUGGUAGUCCACGCCCUAAAACGAUGUCAACUAGUUGUUGGGGAUUCAUUUCCUUAGUAACGUAGCUAACGCGUGAAGUUGACCGCCUGGGGAGUACGGUCGCAAAGAUUAAAAACUUAAAUGAAUUGACGGGGUCAUAGCUGUUUCCU
rnacentral:rRNA from 1 species